rnacentral:rRNA from 1 species
GCGGCAGCGACUUAACUGAACCUUCGGGGAACGUUAAGGGCGGCGAGCGGCGGACGGGUGAGUAAUGCCUGGGAAAUUGCCCUGAUGUGGGGGAUAACCAUUGGAAACGAUGGCUAAUACCGCAUGAUGCCUUCGGGCCAAAGAGGGGGACCUUCGGGCCUCUCGCGUCAGGAUAUGCCCAGGUGGGAUUAGCUAGUUGGUGAGGUAAGGGCUCACCAAGGCGACGAUCCCUAGCUGGUCUGAGAGGAUGAUCAGCCACACUGGAACUGAGACACGGUCCAGACUCCUACGGGAGGCAGCAGUGGGGAAUAUUGCACAAUGGGCGCAAGCCUGAUGCAGCCAUGCCGCGUGUAUGAAGAAGGCCUUCGGGUUGUAAAGUACUUUCAGCAGUGAGGAAGGCGGGUGCGUUAAUAGCGCAUUCGUUUGACGUUAGCUGCAGAAGAAGCACCGGCUAACUCCGUGCCAGCAGCCGCGGUAAUACGGAGGGUGCGAGCGUUAAUCGGAAUUACUGGGCGUAAAGCGCAUGCAGGUGGUUUGUUAAGUCAGAUGUGAAAGCCCGGGGCUCAACCUCGGAAUUGCAUUUGAAACUGGCAGGCUAGAGUACUGUAGAGGGG